GACGCGUUGGCCUAAUGGUUAGUGCUUUGGACUCCGGAUCGAGAGUUCCGGGUCCAAGCCCUGGCCUGGGUGACUGUGUUG